UUUUUAGCUCACCUGAGCCGAAGGCUCAAGUGAGCUUUUCUGAUCACAUUUUGUCCGUCGUCCGUCCGUCCGUCCGUCUGUCUGUCUGUCUGUUCUUACGAGAGGUACAUUGUGGGGUAAAAUUAACGUAUUUUCCAGCAGUGUGGGGUUUUUUGGGUACUGUGGGGUUAACCCCAUAAUGAAGAGGUCUAAUUACGUUCAAAAUUACUCUAUGAGGUCGAAAAACCUAAAAUUAGAUUUAACCUCACAAAGACUUUGUCCAAAUUUUGGACAUGUCCUUAGCCCAAAACGCUCAGACAUUCAGAAAUCUGCUGUUUAGAGGAGUUCGGUAAUUGAAUCGAGGAGUUCCGAAUACCUGAGCAUGCGCAUAUAUUUAAAACUAACUGCGCAUGCGCAGAAUACGGAAGUAGCUGUGUUUGGACACUUUGUAUUAGCAGUGAGGAAAUUCGGAAACACAAAAAGCAAAUGCAAGUUCAGAUACCACUGAAAGUGAACAUCAGUGGAACUUUGAUGAUCUAGGCCACUCUAUUGUUGCAGCAACACCAGCAGGCGUCGGACAUUCAUAAAGUUGAAAGAACAAACCUGUGACUUGAACACACAAUUUGUGAUCUGAAUAUAGUUCACAAAUUUAAGGAAAGCAACUAUUAAAGACAUCCAGAUCGGUGGUAUACAUGAAGUAUGAGUUAAAGACUUUUCAGAAGAACAAGCACAAUCCCGAUUCAUUUUUGCCAUUGCCUUCUCCAGACGGCGACAUUCAGGACCUGACUUACUUUUCAGAAAAAGAAGAAUCGAUUUUUGAAAGUUGAUCUAAAAAAGAUAACAUUUACAUGGGUCGUGGAUUUGAAUU